AUUGAACGCUGGCGGCAGGCCUAACACAUGCAAGUCGAACGAGUGGCGGACGGGUGAGUAAUGUCUGGGAAACUGCCCGAGGGAGGGGGGUAACAACUGUAAACGGUGGCUAAUACCGCAUACCAUCGGAUGUGCCCAGAUGGGAUUAGCUAGUAGGUGGGGUAACGGCUCACCUAGGCGACGAUCCCUAGCUGGUCUGAGAGGAUGACCAGCCACACUGGAACUGAGACACGGUCCAGACUCCUACGGGAGGCAGCAGUGGGGAAUAUUGCACAAUGGGCGCAAGCCUGAUGCAGCCAUGCCGCGUGUAUGAAGAAGGCCUUCGGGUUGUAAAGUACUUUCAGCGGGGAGGCGUUACCCGCAGAAGAAGCACCGGCUAACUCCGUGCCAGCAGCCGCGGUAAUUC
rnacentral:rRNA from 1 species